ACUAUUUUGGCAGAAAAAUGUAAUGGUUUUAGAAAUCAUUAAUAUAUAAAUUAUUAUAUAGAUAGUA
rnacentral:tRNA from 1 species